ACCAAGGACGAGAGGAAUCCUCUGCCCACCCUGCGCCUGGAGGGCUUGGGGACAGGAGGGAUUAACAGAGGAGCGGCAGCUUUUCCUGGCUGUUGACUGAAGACAGUCCUUUGGCUUUUCCGGGCACCCCCUCCUGGUUUGCCUUGGUCCCGCUCGGGGCUCCUUUAGAACGCGGCAAACAGAGGACCUAGCAACGGGAGCGCUGGGCGGGGUCCCCUCUUAAGGAGAUGCGAAAGGGCGCCGGCCUGAGCCCCGCCUGCGUGCACGCCUUCUCCCCUGCGAGGCCCGUAGCACCAGUUUCUGGUGCAUCCCUUACCACAGACAUCACACCACAAGACCGAGGGGGGCAUCCUGAGUCACCGAAGGAGCUCCUCACAUCCUUUAUCGAAGCAUCUUUGUGGAGCAAUGAGUAAAAGGAUGUUCACACGUCAGUACCAGCACAACAGAAAUCCCCAGAGGUCCACGUUGCUGAGGAGCCCAGGCACUAGAUCCCCAGGCGAGCCAGGCAUCUGUGACCCAGGGCCAGGAUGGCCUCAGCCUCAGAAAGAUCCCUAGCCUCUUCCACCAUUUGAGGACAUGGUGAAAACGCACCAGCUAUGAACCAGGAGGAAGACUCUUUCCAGGAGACCACCAUACUGGCACCUUGAUCUUGGACUUCCAGCCUCCAAAACGCUGGGUCCACUUUGAGGACAGUAACUUAUCAAAGGUAUCAGCAAAACCAGCAAACUGGGGAGAAACAGCACCAAAGACAGCAACAGACUCUGAUAUUUUGGGAGCUCAAGCAGAGGGGAAGGAAAAUGGCAAAUGCUCUGUGACAUCCUAAGUUCUCAAGCAACUCUCCACCAGCCCCAUUUCUCUCCCUGAAAGAACUGAGGAACACACUGAGUGGAACUCAAGUUACCUCAUGAGGUGGGAAAAUAACCCAGAAAAGUUGGAGGAAGAAAGAAAGUCGGAAUGCUAAUUGUUGUAGUUACCGUCCCUUCACUUUUACCCACAGCUGCUGAGGUUUGAGGAAACACAAUUUUAUAAUCAAAGUUUGAUGGAAAAGGAAACUGAGUCACAUUACCAUUUGCAGAGUCACGUAAGAAAUCAAAGACUGGUGCAAGGAUGAAGUCUAGUUCAUCUAGUUUAUAAUCCAUAAUGUCAUCCCUUUGUCACAUAGGGAAGUAAUGAUUCAAAGUAAAUCACCAACAAAAAUUAAAACCCUCAAAUAUUUGUCCUAUUGAUUAUGGCUGUAUGACUUUAUAAUUGGAUUUGAGGGACUAUGGAUUUCUCCAGGCCCUCAAGCAAAGAGAGUGACCUUCAGUCUCGUGCAUGGUUCCAUACAAGAGUGAAAUGUUUUGAAAAGGAACAUGGCCCUUCCUAUCCAAGGCAACCCCCCUCCUUCACUCUCUCAAGGAUGUGGCUUAAGGUUUUCUGUUUGCUGCUCCCAAUGGCAGACAUCUUUCUUCUUAUGAUUGCAAUUGCAUGUCUGGUUAUUUUAAGAGUGAGACUAUAACAUUUCUGGUUGAUAAUUAUAGUAAAUCAAUGUGUUAAUAACAGGAUUUCAGUGUAUCAAGUUCAUCUGUAGAAAAAAUUGUAAACAAUUCAACCUAAAUCACCUAGAGAGGAUAUGAGCCUGGCAGAUUAUUGUGGUCGGAGAGCUAAUAAUAACAGUUAUUUUUUAUUGACCUUUCAGCACUUAAUCUUCAUUUAAACCCUAUGAGGAAACGAUAUUAUUCCCAUCUUAUAGGUGAAGAAACUGAAAUUUUAAAGGUAUUACAUAACUUCUCAUCCUUACUGCUCCACUCUACUGCCUCAUCAAGGAAGAGAAGUUAGCAUAUUCCAUCCCAUUUAUGUGACCCAAGUACCCCAGGCAUAAAAUAUUUUAUCACCAGGCCAAUUCCUUAGGAAAAUGCAUUCCAUUUGCCAAGCGUAUAAUACAAAAUUAAACUUGCAAACCUUUUGAUCCACUCUCAGAUUCCAACAAGAGUAAUUCCCUUACAAGUACAAGGAGUGAAAAUGUGACUCACAAUAAAUAAUUCUAUCAAAUGUACUUCUGUACUGCCUCUGACCUUGCCCUUUUGCCUUAAGUCACUGCCAAGACUAAUAGAUCCCAUGACACUCUCAAGAUAUAGAAAGUAAUUAUUGAAAUUCAUCUGGUUAUACAAAGAUAAAAAGUAUUUCAUUGCUAGACAGAGCAUUUAUUUUCCAAAGGCUAUUCUGUCUUUUUUCCUUAAAGUAUCAUAUAAUAGUCUUCAUGAUAAUUUUGCAUUUUCAGUGAGUAAAAAUUUUAUGUACUCAUUAUUAUCUAAAUAUUCAAGAAUAAAACUGAGAACAUGGAAGCAAGCAGAGAGUCAAAUAAAUCACAAAAUUAAUAAUUUAGUUCGAAAAACAUUCCUUAUUUUGUCAUGUUUGCCCAUAAUUCCAUCAAGAAUAUUGCCUUGUUAACAAAUACCCUAUAAAUAUUUGUUGAAUAAAAAAUUGAAUGAAAUCUUGAUUAUAACAGAUCAAAAUCAGCAAGUCAGCAACCUCUAUAGGUAUAGUGGAAAAUUGUUUUUCUUGUGCUACCCAGAAUCCAUUCAUCCUAUUCUAGCAAUAUAAUACCUAUUUUGAUGCAUUCCUGUCUUCCGUUUGUACAACCAUGGUGUCUUCCUAAAACCAAGAGAUAAUCGCGAGGAUUUAACUGAUCAAUCAGAAAUUCUCCCAAGACUUUGAAUCUUGAGAACCUAAGACGGUUGGAAUUCAUUCCUUCCAGUAAAGGUACCCUGACAAGGUAGUUAAGCAGUCCUUGUUACCUGGACCCUUGGAAUUACCCUGAUUCUUGUCUAAUUUGAGCUUGGUUCUUUCUCUUACCUGUGGGUUGUGUUAAUUCCCCAGUAUCAAUAUAGUAGGAUGUCUUUUCUGCUUAAAUUAUCCAGAAUUAAUUUCUAUUACUUAAAACUGAAGAACACAAUACUCCAGCUUCCGCUUAGGAUAUACAAAGUUGUAAGAUUAUUACACUAAACCUAAAAACAAGAAAAAAGGUAGUUAAUCUACAAAAGCAUAACUUUCCUUGAGCAUUUCAGAGAGCUGAGAUCACAAGGCAGCUGAGUAACCUGAAUUCCAAUGGGAAACAAGCUCCUUAAAGGAGCGGUGGAGAACAUGAACUUUUCGACCUGUGCGAGAUUAGUGGAAAAACUGGUGACCACCAUACAAACAGGCUUCCAGAGGAUCCUCACAAAAAGACUGGAGACAGGGUAAGAGAUGUGAGAGAGCCACCUCACUAAUGCAGGAGAGUCAUGUGAAGACCUAGCAAGAAGUUGGCAUCUAUAAGCCAGGAAGAAUGCCUUUACCAGAAACCAAAUUGCCUGGAACCUUGAUCUCAGACUUCUAGCCUCCAGAACUUCGAGAAAAUAAAUUUCUGUUGUUUAAGCCACCCAGUCUCUGGCAUUUUGUUAUGACAGCCCAAACACACUAAUACACCUAGGUAGCAGGCAAGUGGUAGCAGCAAGGGCCAAAAGCGUGCAUUAUAAGGCCAGCAACCAAUAUCAGAAAACUACAGCACCACUGAAAAUCUCCAGUGCCGGGAGAGACCCCUGGGAGAAAGCAGAAACCUGGAAUUUUGGAA